UACGAGGGGUGCAAGCGUUGCUCGGAAUUAUUGGGCGUAAAGGGUAGGUAGGUGGUCUCAUUUGUCUGGGGUGAAAGCCUUGAGCUUAACUCAAGAAGUGCCUCGGAAACGGUGAGACUGGAGUCUUGGAGAGGGUUGCGGAAUUCCCGGUGUAGCGGUGAAAUGCGUAGAGAUCGGGAGGAACACCAGAGGCGAAGGCGGCAACCUGGACAAGUACUGACACUCAACUACGAAAGCGUGGGGAGCAAACAGG
rnacentral:rRNA from 1 species